UGGCGAACGGGUGAGUAACGUGUGGGAAUCUGCCCUCAAGACGGGGACAACUCGCCGAAAGGUGAGCUAAUACCAGAUACGGUAUGGUUGGGAAACUGGUCAUAUCAAAGGACGGCGCUCCGCGAGGAGGCUGUCGCUGGAGGAGGAGCCCACAUCCUAUCAGCUAGUUGGCGGGGUAAUGGCCCACCAAGGCUAUGACGGGUAGCUGGUCUGAGAGGACGGCCAGCCACACUGGAACUGAGACACGGUCCAGACUCCUACGGGAGGCAGCAGUCAGGAAUAUUGGGCAAUGGGCGCAAGCCUGACCCAGCGACACCGCGUGCGGGAUGAAGGCCUUCGGGUUGUAAACCGCUGUCGGGGGGGAUGAAGGCCGAGCCGGUUAAUAUCCGGAGCGGUUUGACAGUACCCCCGGAGGAAGCCACGGCUAACUCUGUGCCAGCAGCCGCGGUAAUUCAGAGGUGGCAAGCGUUGUCCGGAUUCACUGGGCGUAAAGGGCGUGUAGGCGGUCCUUCAAGUCGGUCGUGAAAUGCGUCGGCCCAACCGAAGCAGCGCGGCCGAUACUUAAGGACUGGAGUGCGGGAGAGGAAAGUGGAAUUCCUGGUGUAGCAGUGAAAUGCGUAGAUAUCAGGAAGAACACCAAUGGCGAAGGCGAUUUUCUGGCCCGCUACUGACGCUGAGGCGCGAAAGCCAGGGGAGCGAACGGGAUUAGAUACCCCGGUAGUCCUGGCCGUAAACUAUGGACACUAGGGUGGGGGGGGGAGUUUUUCCUUCCGUUGCCGAAAGGUAACCCAUUAAGUGUCCCGCCUGGGGACUACGACCGCAAGGUUGAAACUCAAAGAAAUUGACGGGGGCCCGCACAAGCGGUGGGAGCAUGUGGCUCAAUCG
rnacentral:rRNA from 1 species